rnacentral:rRNA from 1 species
GGGUGAGUAACACGUGGAUAACCUACCUAUAAGACUGGGAUAACUUCGGGAAACCGGAGCUAAUACCGGAUAAUAUUUUGAACCGCAUGGUUCAAAAGUGAAAGACGGUCUUGCUGUCACUUAUAGAUGGAUCCGCGCUGCAUUAGCUAGUUGGUAAGGUAACGGCUUACCAAUGCAACGAUGCAUAGCCGACCUGAGAGGGUGAUCGGCCACACUGGAACUGAGACACGGUCCAG